GUGGGGAAUCUUCCGCAAUGGACGAAAGUCUGACGGAGCAACGCCGCGUGAGUGAUGAAGGUCUUCGGAUUGUAAAGCUCUGUUAAUCGGGACGAAAGAGCCUAGUGUGAAUAAUGCUAGGAAGUGACGGUACCGGAAUAGAAAGCCACGGCUAACUACGUGCCAGCAGCCGCGGUAAUACGUAGGUGGCAAGCGUUGUCCGGAAUUAUUGGGCGUAAAGCGCGCGCAGGCGGAGCUGCCAGUCUGUCUUAAAAGUUCGGGGCUUAACCCCGUGAUGGGAUGGAAACUACAGAUCUAGAGUAUCGGAGAGGAAAGUGGAAUUCCUAGUGUAGCGGUGAAAUGCGUAGAUAUUAGGAAGAACACCAGUGGCGAAGGCGACUUUCUGGACGAAAACUGACGCUGAGGCGCGAAAGCCAGGGGAGCGAACGGGAUUAGAAACCCUGGUAGUCC
rnacentral:rRNA from 1 species